rnacentral:rRNA from 1 species
UACGGAGGGUGCAAGCGUUAUCCGGAUUCACUGGGUUUAAAGGGUGUGUAGGCGGGCUUAUAAGUCAGCGGUGAAAUCUCCGGGCUCAACCCGGAAACUGCCAUUGAUACUAUAAGUCUUGAAUCUUGUUGAGGUAGGCGGAAUAUGUCAUGUAGCGGUGAAAUGCUUAGAUAUGACAUAGAACACCGAUUGCGAAGGCAGCUUACUAAGCAAGCAUUGACGCUGAGGCACGAAAGCGUGGGGAUCAAACAGG